rnacentral:sRNA from 1 species
GCUGGGUGUGGUGGGGCAUGCCUGUAACCUCAGCAGCUUGGGAGGCUGAGGCAGGAGGACUGCAAGUUCAAAGCCAGCCUCAGCACUGGCGAGGUGCUAAGCAACUCAGUGAGACCCUGUCUCUA